rnacentral:rRNA from 1 species
GUACACUCCUACGGGAGGCAGCAGUGGGGAAUUUUGGACAAUGGGCGAAAGCCUGAUACAGCAAUGCCGCGUGAGUGAAGAAGGCCUUCGGGUUGUAAAGCUCUUUUGUCAGGGAAGAAACGGUGAAAGCUAAUAUCUUUUGCUAAUGACGGUACCUGAAGAAUAAGCACCGGCUAACUACGUGCCAGCAGCCGCGGUAAUACGUAGGGUGCAAGCGUUAAUCGGAAUUACUGGGCGUAAAGCGUGCGCAGGCGGUUUUGUAAGUCUGAUGUGAAAUCCCCGGGCUCAACCUGGGAAUUGCAUUGGAGACUGCAAGGCUAGAAUCUGGCAGAGGGGGGUAGAAUUCCACGUGUAGCAGUGAAAUGCGUAGAUAUGUGGAGGAACACCGAUGGCGAAGGCAGCCCCCUGGGUCAAGAUUGACGCUCAUGCACGAAAGCGUGGGGAGCAAACAGGAUUAGAUACCCUUGUAGUCCC